rnacentral:lncRNA from 1 species
GGGCGUUGUAUUGUGGUUUGUGCACUAAUUGUGGUUUUUAAAGUAGUAUAUUGAAAGGAUAAUGUUGAUUUAGAAUUUGGAAGUUGAGAGGCCUCACAUGUGAACUGGUAGAGUUUUGCUGAGCUUUGAGGCCCCACAUUUUAAGGACAUUUAUGCUACAUACAUGCUAAACCUACAUGCUCUCAUUUUACCAAAAUUCGUGUACUACCAUUUUCUAUAAUUACAGUAAUGCUAGUGUCAAGUUCGCUUUUGAAAUUUCAUUAGCAACUUGCCAUGUACUGUAUUUCAUACAUGCUGAUAUAUAUUUUCUGCACCUACAAUAUUGCAGAGUUCUGGUGGCAGGCCUGGGUUUGGACGUGGUGGCGGCAGUGGCUUUGGUGCUGGCCCGACCUCUUCUUCCAUGGAGUGAAGUUGCCCUUAGUUUGGACAUGAUGUUUCUGUUCGCGUGAUGCGUUUAAAUUUUGAAGGACAGCUAUUAUGUACUAGUAAUGUUAUCCGGAUCGGCCAGUGCUGACAAUAUGCAAAAAGAAUUGGUCCAUCGUAAUACAUUGGUUCCAGUAUAAUAGUCUUUGCAAAACGUUUGUGUUUUCAAGUCAGUACCUUUUUCGCUAAGUAAUUGUCCAGUUGACUGGUCUGAUGUGUGAUGCAGGGAUGUUUUGCUUUUUCUUCUAGCUGUUGCUGUUUGUGUUCUCCCUCUGUCCCUGAAUGAAUUGUUCUCUUGGCUGGGGCCAAUAGAGCUAAAACAGCGAUUAGUUUUGGUGCUUGGGGCUCUAAUUUCUGAUGGCGCCCUCCGAAAAUUGGCAGAGCUCAGCCAAAUUUCUGAUGGCGCCCAUGGCAUCUCUAAACACCCCACGGCCGCUACGAUGGCAGAACAUAGUUCCAGUGAGCCAUGUUGCAUUGGUACCUUGCUGGGGACAUGUAACAUGUUCCAGAUAUGAGACAUGUUCCAGUGAUGCACAUUUUUGGUGUUGAAUUGCGGCUUAUUUGGCUCUUCGUUGCAGGAACUGAUAGUUGUCUUUCGUAUUCGCAGAUGAUGUAGUACAAGUACUGCAUAUGUCAAUGUCUUUUAUGCACUAUUGCUUAGACUUGGCACACCCCAACCAAUUGAAAUCAAACUCAUGAAAUUGGCUUUGCCACUAAGAGCCUCACGUUAUCUAGGUUUUGAACUAUUUCCUAGACCUAGCACACCUUAACUGAAUCAAAACAAACUUAUAAAAUUGGCUUUGCAACAAUGUUACACUAUCAUCAAGGCUUGAUCAAAUCGAGCUUAUGAAAUUGGCUUUUGCUAGUGUAAAAUAUGACUACCUUUAUUUUGCUUUAUGUUUUAUGAACUCUAUUAUAUUUGCAUUUGUAUAGGACAUAGCCAUUUCUCUUUUUUUUAUGGGUACUUAGCAACUCUUGUAAGCUUAUGUGGCUAUAAAAAAAUAAAGGUGUAUGAAAAAUAGCUCCAAACAUGUUAUUCUAUUAAACCGUUUGGUAGGACUGGAGCUGAUGCUGGAAUCAGAGCCCUACUAAAUGGGGCCUAGAUUCAUCCCUAAUAUUCAGAACCAUAAUGGUAGAUUCACCAGAAUGCUACUUUGUGACAACUCUAACCCAAUGUUAGAUUCACCGGAGAAUGCUAAUUUUGAGACCGUGCCCAUGGCACCUCCGACAAGUUACGGACUUCAACCAAGGUGCAAGGAUGGCAUGGUGUUGGUCUAGUUAUGAGAAUGUUCUGGCUUGGUUUAUUUUGCCGUGGAGCUUGGCAGCUUGCACUAGGCAUGACAUUAUUUUUUAACCACAGGGCAUUUUUCUUGUGCUGAAUUGCUGGCAUGGCUUUAUUUUAACUGCUGGAGGUUUAGCCUGCAUUCGUGGCUACGUUGGAUACACAUGCACCGGGAGUGUUUGGAUGUGGUUCUUUGCACCACGGUCCACGGUCACUACUCCGGCCUUGUUUAGUUGCACUCGAAAUUCAAAACCUUUUUAAAA